ACCAGAAGGCCCUAUUGAUCAGGGGCCAGCUACAGGAAGGGUACGUCAUUUAGAAGAGCAGCUUGUUAAGGCCAAAGAACAGAUUGAAAUUUACAAAAAGCAAACCAGAAAUGGUCUUGGGAAGGAUCAUGAAAUCCUAAGAAGGAGGAUUGAAAAUGGAGCUAAAGAGCUCUGGUUUUUUCUACAGAGUGAAUUGAAAAAAUUAAAGAAUUUAGAAGGAAAGGAACUCCAAAGACAUGCCGAUGAAUUUCUUUCAGAUUUAGGACAUCACGAAAGGUCUAUAAUGACGGAUCUAUACUACCUCAGUCAAACAGAUGGAGCAGGUGAUUGGCGGGAAAAAGAGGCCAAAGAUCUGACAGAGCUGGUCCAGCGGAGAAUAACUUAU